UUAAAAUCGAAUUUAACCUUACCUGUUUUAAAUUAUUUGAAAUUUAUCACUAUAAACUAUACAGUGUUAACUUUCUAAUAAUUAAAUUUUUAACCGUAGUAACGUUAAUUAGUUUGUUUGAAUAACUUACCUGCUGCUCGAGCUUGAUGAUGCUCAUGCUAUCCAUGCUGUGAACUUGAAUAUAAUCCGAUAUAACGUUAAAUAUAAAGGUUAACGUUAAUUAGACCGAGGCUGCCGAAAUCAUGUUCAGUGUAACGUUAUGUGGGAUUAAUAAUUUCCCCUUUUCUCCCUCAAGUGGCAGGCUUGUAAAUUCUGUCAUCUGUUCAUUAUUGGUGUUGAUGGUGUUUUUCACAUGCAUGCUUUUUAAUGCUAGUUCAAUUCUCAAAUUGAUCUGAUACUUUCGUUUCACAAAAAGUAAACAAAUUGUUCACUUUCUUAGGGCCUGACAACCACCAAUUGAGUCCAUGAUUCAGUGAGUUCCUUAUAAGGAAAUAUAUUUGUUAACGCCUAGUAAUUUAAAUGUAUUAUUUAUUGCUUUAAAAUGAGCACAUAUAUUUAUCAUCAGGGGAAAAGACAGUCUGGGCAGCAGCAACAAGACAACUAUUACAAGUAGAGAUGGGUUUCAAGAACUGGUACUAAUUUGGUUCCUGACUUGUUCGACACAACCACAUAUCCUCCAAAUCAUCUUUGCGUGGAUGGCAGCAAGGAUCCAGGAUCAAGAGAUCAUUCUUCAUGGAAGCAGUUUCUCCUGGGUCAUCCUGACCAUUCUGCUGUCCUGGAUGUAAGGCCGUGCUGGAACUACAUUUCUCGUUGUUUAAAGAUUUGUGCAGCGGUAUCCAGACAUAUAACGCCCCAUCACACGGGGCGUCAACGCCUCUCGUUUACUUUUAAAUGAAGUGACGUCAAGGAUGGUGAAAUCAAUUCUAGAAAUUAAUUCUAAAUAGAAGUUGAAGACUUCUCAAGCGACAAUGCAGCCGUCCUCCAGUCAGAACAUCUUAUGCAAAUACCCUAGCGCAGACGCAAGCCAAUCAAGUGCUUGCAAAACCAGAAAACUAAUGUGAUUGGCUGUCACUAUGAGAAGAGACAGUAAUUCUGAUCCGAUAUCAGUGUCGUUUUUUGCAAAAAAAAUUUUAAAUCAAUGUAGAAUUUUCUAUACUUCUGUGUAGGGAUGUCAAUUUUCAAUCAUUUCCAUGAUCGAUCGUCGUUUAAAUUAACAAUCAAAUAAUCGAUUAAUUGUUAACCUUAAUGCUGCAAAGUCUAUUGCAGUAACAUCCAGUCACUGGUAUGACAGGAUGUGCAAAAGUGUG